ensembl:lncRNA
AGGAAGAGCUAAGAUGAGAGGUUGAGAGAUGAUUCUCCUCUAACUGACUGGAACAGAGGGAUGUCUUCAGUUCUGCCUCCUGAUAACACACUGUUACAACCAUCACCAUGUUUCUCUACCCAGUGUUUCUCCUCUCUGCACUUGUUGGUGGCAGUUAUGAAAAUAACUUAAAACCAACUUCAGAGACAGAACAUGGCAUGGAGGUAAGCAGUGUUACACUGUCUUGCAACUACUCUGGAUCAGUAGACUCUUCAAUGGUAUCGUCAAUAUCCCAGAUCAGCACCGCAAUUCAUCCUCUAAACUACAGUCACCUUAAAGCCCUCUGUAUUUAGAGCUGAACCUGAUGACCCUCGACUGUCUGUUAAUCUGAAUAAAGAGAGAACCUGUGUGGAUCUGGAGAUCUCCUCUGCUGAAUUGACAGACUCUGCUCUGUACUACUGUGCCCUGAGGCCCACAGUGACAGGAAACCCCUCUAAUAAACUCCUCUAAUGCAUAUUUUAGCGCAGGGGUGAGGCGUCCUACUGUAGGUUCAUGAAAAUAAAUUAUCCUUUAAAAUACUGUGUUGGACUUCCCUCCAGUAUAUAACUUCAGCUACAAUAUGAUGGUUCUCUACACAGUUAUUUUACUUUCUGCUCUGACAGGUUAGUAAAUGACUGUAUACCUUUCAUUCUUUUGACUACAUUUUUUAGGC